rnacentral:rRNA from 1 species
UAGGGAAUCUUCCACAAUGGACGAAAGUCUGAUGGAGCAACGCCGCGUGAGUGAUGAAGGGUUUCGGCUCGUAAAACUCUGUUGUUGGAGAAGAACGGGUGUCAGAGUAACUGUUGACAUCGUGACGGUAUCCAACCAGAAAGCCACGGCUAACUACGUGCCAGCAGCCGCGGUAAUACGUAGGUGGCAAGCGUUGUCCGGAUUUAUUGGGCGUAAAGCGAGCGCAGGCGGUUUUUUAGGUCUGAUGUGAAAGCCUUCGGCUUAACCGGAGAAGUGCAUCGGAAACCGGGAGACUUGAGUGCAGAAGAGGACAGUGGAACUCCAUGUGUAGCGGUGAAAUGCGUAGAUAUAUGGAAGAACACCAGUGGCGAAGGCGGCUGUCUGGUCUGCAACUGACGCUGAGGCUCGAAAGCAUGGGUAGCGAACAGGAUUAGAUACCCUGGUAGUCCAUGCCGUAAACGAUGAGUGCUAAGUGUUGGAGGGUUUCCGCCCUUCAGUGCUGCAGUUAAACGCAUUAAGCACUCCG